AACGUAGGGAACGAGCGUUAUCCGGAUUUACUGGGCGUAAAGCGCACGCAGGCGGUUUGGGAAGUUGGACGUGAAAACUCCUGGCUUAACUGGGAGAGGUCGUACAAAACUACCAAGCUAGAGGUUGGAAGAGGAGAGUGGAAUUCCCGGUGUAGUGGUGGAAUGCGUAGAUAUCGGGAGGAACACCAGUGGUGAAAACGGCUCUCUGGUCCAAUACUGACGCUGAGGUGCGAAAGCGUGGGGAGCGAAC
rnacentral:rRNA from 1 species